UACAGAGGGGGCAAGCGUUGUUCGGAAUUACUGGGCGUAAAGGGCGCGUAGGCGGCCUUCUAAGUCGAACGUGAAAUCCCCGGGCUCAACCCGGGAACUGCGUCCGAUACUGGAAGGCUUGAAUCCGGGAGAGGGAUGCGGAAUUCCAGGUGUAGCGGUGAAAUGCGUAGAUAAUCUGGAGGAACACCGGUGGCGAAGGCGG
rnacentral:rRNA from 1 species